rnacentral:rRNA from 1 species
CCUGAUGUUAGCGGCGGACGGGUGAGUAACACGUGGGUAACCUGCCUGUAAGACUGGGAUAACUCCGGGAAACCGGGGCUAAUACCGGAUGGUUGUUUGAACCGCAUGGUUCAAACAUAAAAGGUGGCUUCGGCUACCACUUACAGAUGGACCCGCGGCGCAUUAGCUAGUUGGUGAGGUAACGGCUCACCAAGGCAACGAUGCGUAGCCGACCUGAGAGGGUGAUCGGCCACACUGGGACUGAGACACGGCCCAGACUCCUACGGGAGGCAGCAGUAGGGAAUCUUCCGCAAUGGACGAAAGUCUGACGGAGCAACGCCGCGUGAGUGAUGAAGGUUUUCGGAUCGUAAAGCUCUGUUGUUAGGGAAGAACAAGUACCGUUCGAAUAGGGCGGUACCUUGACGGUACCUAACCAGAAAGCCACGGCUAACUACGUGCCAGCAGCCGCGGUAAUACGUAGGUGGCAAGCGUUGUCCGGAAUUAUUGGGCGUAAAGGGCUCGCAGGCGGUUUCUUAAGUCUGAUGUGAAAGCCCCCGGCUCAACCGGGGAGGGUCAUUGGAAACUGGGGAACUUGAGUGCAGAAGAGGAGAGUGGAAUUCCACGUGUAGCGGUGAAAUGCGUAGAGAUGUGGAGGAACACCAGUGGCGAAGGCGACUCUCUGGUCUGUAACUGACGCUGAGGAGCGAAAGCGUGGGGAGCGAACAGGAUUAGAUACCCUGGUAGUCCACGCCGUAAACGAU